CACGUAGGGUGCGAGCGUUGUCCGGAAUUAUUGGGCGUAAAGAGCUCGUAGGCGGUGUGUCGCGUCGGCCGUGAAAACCUGCAGCUUAACUGUGGGCGUGCGGUCGAUACGGGCAUCACUGGAGUUCGGCAGGGGAGACUGGAAUUCCUGGUGUAGCGGUGAAAUGCGUAGAUAUCAAGUGGAACACCAGUGGCGAAGGCGAGUCCCUGGACAACUCCUGACACUGAGGCACGAAAGCUAGGGGAGCAAACAGG
rnacentral:rRNA from 1 species